GAUGAACGCUGGCGGCGUGCCUAAUACAUGCAAGUCGAACGAAAUACCUUCGGGUAUUUAGUGGCGAACGGGUGAGUAAUACGUAGAUAACCUGCCUAUAGGACUGGGAUAACUAUUGGAAACGAUAGCUAAUACCGGAUAGGUAGAACGAGGGCAUCCUUGUUCUAUUAAAGUUGGGAAACAACACAUAUAGAUGGAUCUACGGCGCAUUAGUUAGUUGGUGGGGUAAUGGCCUACCAAGACGAUGAUGCGUAGCCGACCUGAGAGGGUGAACGGCCACACUGGGACUGAGACACGGCCCAGACUCCUACGGGAGGCAGCAGUGAGGGAUAUUGCACAAUGGGCGAAAGCCUGAUGCAGCGACGCCGCGUGAGGGAAGACGGUCCUCUGGAUUGUAAACCUCUGUCUUCAGGGACGAACAUGACGGUACCUGAGGAGGAAGCUCCGGCUAACUACGUGCCAGCAGCCGCGGUAAGUCACACUACA
rnacentral:rRNA from 1 species